rnacentral:rRNA from 1 species
AUUGAACGCUGGCGGCAGGCCUAACACAUGCAAGUCGAGCGGAUGAAGGGAGCUUGCUCCUGGAUUCAGCGGCGGACGGGUGAGUAAUGCCUAGGAAUCUGCCUGGUAGUGGGGGAUAACGUCCGGAAACGGGCGCUAAUACCGCAUACGUCCUGAGGGAGAAAGUGGGGGAUCUUCGGACCUCACGCUAUCAGAUGAGCCUAGGUCGGAUUAGCUAGUUGGUGGGGUAAAGGCCUACAAAGGCGACGAUCCGUAACUGGUCUGAGAGGAUGAUCAGUCACACUGGAACUGAGACACGGUCCAGACUCCUACGGGAGGCAGCAGUGGGGAAUAUUGGACCAUUGGCGAAAGCCUGAUCCAGCCAUGCCGCGUGUGUGAAGAAGGUCUUCGGAUUGUAAAGCACUUUAAGUUGGGAGGAAGGGCAGUAAGUUAAUACCUUGCUGUUUUGACGUUACCAACAGAAUAAGCACCGGCUAACUUCGUG